AUUGAACGCUGGCGGCAGGCCUAACACAUGCAAGUCGAGCGAGCGGCGGACGGGUGAGUAAUGCCUGGGAAUUGCCCAGUAGAGGGGGAUACCCGUUGGAAACGACUGCUAAUACCGCAUCCUCUUGGAUUCCCCAGGUUGGAUUGGCUAGUUGGUGAGGUAAUGGCUCACCAAGGCGACGAUCCCUAGCGGGUAUGAGAGGAUGAUCAGCAACACUGGAACUGAGACACGGUCCAGACGCCUACGGGAGGCAGCAGGGGGGAAUAUUGCACAAUGGGGGAAAGCCGGAUGCAGCCAUGCCGCGUGUGUGAAGAAGGCCUUCGGGUUGUAAAGUACUUUCAGCGAGGAGGCGUUACUCGCAGAAGAAGCACCGGCUAACUCCGUGCCAGCAGCCGCGGUAAUUC
rnacentral:rRNA from 1 species